rnacentral:rRNA from 1 species
AACUGCGAAUGGCUCAUUAAAUCAGUUAUCGUUUAUUUGAUAGUACCUUACUACUUGGAUAACCGUGGUAAUUCUAGAGCUAAUACAUGCUAAAAACCCCAACUUCGGAAGGGGUGUAUUUAUUAGAUAAAAAACCAAUGCCCUUCGGGGCUCCNUUGGUGAUUCAUGAUAACUUAACGAAUCGCAUGGCCUUGCGCCGGCGAUGGUUCAUUCAAAUUUCUGCCCUAUCAACUUUCGAUGGUAGGAUAGUGGCCUACCAUGGUAUCAACGGGUAACGGGGAAUUAGGGUUCUAUUCCGGAGAGGGAGCCUGAGAAACGGCUACCACAUCCAAGGAAGGCAGCAGGCGCGCAAAUUACCCAAUCCCGACACGGGGAGGUAGUGACAAUAAAUACUGAUACAGGGCUCUUUUGGGUCUUGUAAUUGGAAUGAGUACAAUUUAAAUACCUUAACGAGGAACAAUUGGAGGGCAAGUCUGGUGCCAGCAGCCGCGGUAAUUCCAGCUCCAAUAGCGUAUAUUAAAGUUGUUGCAGUUAAAAAGCUCGUAGUUGAACCUUGGGCCUGGCUGGCCGGUCCGCCUCACCGCGUGUACUGGUCCGGCCGGGCCUUUCCUUCUGGGGAUCCGCAUGCCCUUCACUGGGUGUGUCGGGGAACCAGGACUUUUACUUUGAAAAAAUUAGAGUGUUCAAAGCAGGCCUUUGCUCGAAUACAUUAGCAUGGAAUAAUAGAAUAGGACGUGCGGUCCUAUUUUGUUGGUUUCUAGGACCGCCGUAAUGAUUAAUAGGGAUAGUCGGGGGCAUCAGUAUUCAAUUGUCAGAGGUGAAAUUCUUGGAUUUAUUGAAGACUAACUACUGCGAAAGCAUUUGCCAAGGAUGUUUUCAUUAAUCAGUGAACGAAAGUUAGGGGAUCGAAGACGAUCAGAUACCGUCGUAGUCUUAACCGUAAACUAUGCCGACUAGGGAUCGGGCGAUGUUAUUCU